UACGUAGGGUGCAAGCGUUAAUCGGAAUUACUGGGCGUAAAGCGUGCGCAGGCGGUUAUGCAAGACAGAUGUGAAAUCCCCGGGCUUAACCUGGGAACCGCAUUUGUGACUGCAUAGCUGGAGUACGGCAGAGGGGGAUGGAAUUCCGCGUGUAGCAGUGAAAUGCGUAGAUAUGCGGAGGAACACCGAUGGCGAAGGCAGUCCCCUGGGCCUGUACUGACGCUCAUGCACGAAAGCGUGGGGAGCGAACAGG
rnacentral:rRNA from 1 species